rnacentral:tRNA from 1 species
CAUCAAGAAGCUACAUGCUAGCGCUAGCCUUUUGAGCUAGAGAAAGAGGAUUGCCCGUCCCUCCUUAAUGA